rnacentral:misc_RNA from 1 species
GCCCAGUCAAUGUUUACUCGUGGAGACUCAAUCUACAUUGGCUGUACUAAUACGAGGUCUGCAGGGAAAAAAGAACCUUGUUCACAUGUGCAACAGUUUUCAUUGCGCAAACAAAGGAUAGUCAGCACAUACUCUAUGCCAGAAUCGAAUGCUCACUCGCAUUACUCAGCCAUAACACAGGUUUGGGGAAAUUCUGAGUUUGUAAUGUGUGUUUGCGGACUAGGGCUGUUUGUCUUUGAUGCCUUGAAGGAUGACAGCCUGCACUCUUCUGCGGUGGAUUAUGGUAGUAUCCAAAAGGUAAAAGAUGUUAUCGGUCCAGAUGACAUGUAUUCCCCUACAUUUGACUACUUGGCAUCUCGUGUCCUUCUGAUAUCAAGAGAUCGUCCAGCGCUGUGGAGGC